UUCUCCCAUCUGUCCCGGAUCCACCUGGAGUGGGGUGUGGUGUCCGGUCGCUGCCCAAACACCCACAGCCCCUUUCCCUUGCUCAGCCUGCAGGGGUGACCCCGCGCAGGGUGAUGGGGGCUCACAGGGGCCUCUGCCUGGGCCCUACGUGUGAGGCCGAGGAGGGACCGAGGCCAGGCGCAGUCCGGAGCCAGCGGGAGGAAGCGGGCACACAGGCCUCAGGGCGUGAAGACGAACCUGCUUGGGGGCUGGAGGCCCGCGGCACCCUGGGGGCCUGGCACAGGCGGCGAGGCAAAGGGCGCUGCCACUGAUCAGACCCCGCCCGGAUUCGGAGGGGUCCCCGGAUGGGCCGCGCCGGGCAAGCGCCUGGGCGGUCAGCUUCGGUCAGAAGCCCCCUCCCACUGCGGGAACCUGAGAAGAGGGUCCCGCCAGGUGGGGAAGACCCUGGGCGCACGGCCGGGAACUGCUGGAGCAGCCGAGGCGCCGGCAGGGGAGCAGCGGGCGGAGCGCGGGGGAAGCCCUUUCCGGGCCUCCUCCGCCUUGGGCUGCUGCCCCGUGGGGAGCUCCCGGUGGCCACCCAGGGCCGCUGCCUCCCGGAGCAACGUGCGAGGGCAAGGAGGGCGGGAGGACGAUCGCUGGCUGGGGAGCAGGGCGGGGAUGGCCGUGGGACCGGGCGGUGGGACGGGCCGUGGGGACACGCCAUGGGGACAGGCUGGCCAAGAGCGCUGUGGCCUCCCGGUGGUGGUGAUGGGCCGGGCUGAAACCUGGGCGGGGCAGUGCUGCGCAGGAUAUGGGAGAGGGUCUUCCAGAAGUCUUUCCACCCUGCUCCACUGAUAAUGUUUUAUUCUCGCCUGGGCUCGGGGCUCCCCAAGUCCUGGAGGAAAACCCGGGGGAUCACGAGGCUCUUAGCCAGAGUGGUCCCGAGCUGGGCCUGGAAGCCACACAAGAGGGCACUGGCAGGGGAGGCCAAGACCGCCGCUGUCCUGGAAAAAGGCCGGGAAAAGCCGAAGGCCUGUGAUCAGGAGGAUGGACCCGCAGGCUGAGAAAAAGAAAAAAAAUCGGGAAAUAAAAGGUUGUCAUCACCUUUGGAUGCUGGAACAGAAUAUGAAGCAAUGAAUAUGUUCACUGUGGGAGCAGACCAGGGACCCCAGGGACUGGUGCCCCAGAUCCUGGGCUGUGGACCCUCUGCACCUUCCUGAGGACGACGGACAAUUGAGUCAGAGCGAGUCGAAGCGGCUGUAUAAAGCAAGGGGCAGGCCCGGAGGCCCCGGGGACAGGCCAGCAGUGGGGGUGGACACGGCUGCAGGCCACGGCCAUCGACUAUGAGUGCUGGAAAGACUCUUUCAUCAGCUGAAUCA